rnacentral:rRNA from 1 species
ACGGGUGAGUAACACGUGAGCAACCUACCCCUGACUCUGGGAUAAGCGCUGGAAACGGCGUCUAAUACUGGAUACGAGUGGCGACCGCAUGGUCAGCUACUGGAAAGAUUUAUUGGUUGGGGAUGGGCUCGCGGCCUAUCAGCUUGUUGGUGAGGUAAUGGCUCACCAAGGCGUCGACGGGUAGCCGGCCUGAGAGGGUGACCGGCCACACUGGGACUGAGACACGGCCCAGACUCCUACGGGAGGCAGCAGUGGGGAAUAUUGCACAAUGGGCGCAAGCCUGAUGCAGCAACGCCGCGUGAGGGAUGACGGCCUUCGGGUUGUAAACCUCUUUUAGCAGGGAAGAAGCGAAAGUGACGGUACCUGCAGAAAAAGCGCCGGCUAACUACGUGCCAGCAGCCGCGGUAAUACGUAGGGCGCAAGCGUUAUCCGGAAUUAUUGGGCGUAAAGAGCUCGUAGGCGGUUUGUCGCGUCUGCUGUGAAAUCCGGAGGCUCAACCUCCGGCCUGCAGUGGGUACGGGCAGACUAGAGUGCGGUAGGGGAGAUUGGAAUUCCUGGUGUAGCGGUGGAAUGCGCAGAUAUCAGGAGGAACACCGAUGGCGAAGGCAGAUCUCUGGGCCGUAACUGACGCUGAGGAGCGAAAGGGUGGGGAGCAAACAGGCUUAGAUACCCUGGUAGUCCACCCCGUAAACGUUGGGAACUAGUUGUGGGGGUCCAUUCCACGGAUUCCGUGACGCAGCUAACGCAUUAAGUUCCCCGCCUGGGGGAGUACGGCCCGCAAGGCUAAAACUCAAAGGGAAUUGACGGGGGACCCGCACAAGCGGCGGGAGCAUGCGGGAUUAAUUCGAUGCAACGCGAAGGAACCUUACCAAGGGCUUGACAUAUACGAGAACGGGCCAGAAAUGGUCAACUCUUUGGACACUCGUAAACAGGUGGUGCAUGGUUGUCGUCAGCUCGUGUCGUGAGAUGUUGGGUUAAGUCCCGCAACGAGCGCAACCCUCGUUCUAUGUUGCCAGCACGUAAUGGUGGGAACUCAUGGGAUACUGCCGGGGUCAACUCGGAGGAAGGUGGGGAUGACGUCAAAUCAUCAUGCCCCUUAUGUCUUGGGCUUCACGCAUGCUACAAUGGCCGGUACAAAGGGCUGCAAUACCGCGAGGUGGAGCGAAUCCCAAAAAGCCGGUCCCAGUUCGGAUUGAGGUCUGCAACUCGACCUCAUGAAGUCGGAGUCGCUAGUAAUCGCAGAUCAGCAACGCUGCGGUGAAUACGUUCCCGGGUCUUGUACACACCGCCCGUCAAGUCAUGAAAGUCGGUAACACCUGAAG